GUGUUGGUGUAGGACGUCACCCAUAAUGAUGUCAUUCCAGACUUUCAGUAUAAAGAGACAUCAAUGCUUCACUUGGCACCUGUUGUAUUCAACUCUUCACCUGGCACCUGGCUGAACACAAUUUUCGACUCAUCGCUGGUAGCAAGAAGUUUCACAGACCAAAUCAGCCGUACUGGGCAUGAAGCUGCUGCACUCUCUGCUGGAUAGGAUCACAAUGGACUCUCAUUGUCAUCAGCAGCCAGGGGCUUGGGGAAGUCCUUGCAACAACAUGCCAUACCCACCCCCACCACCAGGGGGGCCCUGCUAUCCACCAAUGCACCCAGGGCCUCAUGGAGGGUAUGGACAUGGAGUUUAUGCCCCCUUUAAUCAUUAUCAUGGCCACGGACAUCACCAUGGGCAUCAUCACUGGCAUCAUCAUGGCCAUCACCAUGGACACGGACACCAUCAUGGGCAUCAUCAUGGGUUUUUUCAUCAUCAUGGUCAUCAUGGCAAGCAUUGCUAGGAGAAGCAAAGAAAUGGCAAGCAUUUCAGAGGCAAUUUCUGCAGUGACUCACAGUGGAUGAAGAAUCAGGAGCCUGUCCUCACUUCAGUCUAUAUUUUUCUGUGGAAGUGCUGUAAACAUUUUCUUUUUUUAGUUUUUCUUUUUCUAAAAACACACCAAUGCAGAAUUAGCACCUUUAACAAGAAAAGCUCUUUAUGAUAAAUAAAUAUGACAAGUAGUUCUCCAAUGUUUACUUAAAUUCCUGAGUAAAGCACUUUGAGGUUUUGUGACUAAAAUGAAAAGUGCUAUAUAAAUAAAGUCUUUUAUUUUGUUAUUUAUUUAUAACUAAUAUUUUAAACAUGAGGGAAAACCUGCUUGUAUUAUAUUUUAUUAUUCUAAACAGUUUUUUAAUUAUUCUAUCUAUGUCUUUCUUGAAUAAAAGUAUGAAUCAUGUUUUUUGUCUUUUAAACUUCUAUUCUGUAUUUAUUUUAUGUUUCACAAAAUCUAAUAAAAAUAAAUAUACUGCUUAUUUCAGUUCAAGCCAA